UGGGGAAUAUUGCACAAUGGGCGCAAGCCUGAUGCAGCCAUGCCGCGUGUGUGAAGAAGGCCUUCGGGUUGUAAAGCACUUUCAGCGAGGAGGAAAGUUUAGUAGUUAAUACCUGCUAGAUGUGACGUUACUCGCAGAAGAAGGACCGGCUAACUCCGUGCCAGCAGCCGCGGUAAUACGGAGGGUCCGAGCGUUAAUCGGAAUUACUGGGCGUAAAGCGUACGCAGGCGGCCAUUUAAGUCAGAUGUGAAAGCCCCGGGCUCAACCUGGGAACUGCAUUUGAAACUGGAUGGCUAGAGUGCGACAGAGGGUGGUAGAAUUUCAGGUGUAGCGGUGAAAUGCGUAGAGAUCUGAAGGAAUACCAAUGGCGAAGGCAGCCACCUGGGUCGACACUGACGCUCAUGUACGAAAGCGUGGGUAGCAAACAGGAUUAGAUACCCUGGUAGUCCACGCCGUAAACGAUGUCUACUAGCAGCUUGGCGCUUAAGCGCUGUUUUGCGAAGCUAACGCGAUAAGUAGACCGCCUGGGGAGUACGGCCGCAAGGUUA
rnacentral:rRNA from 1 species